CCUACGGGUGGCAGCAGUGGGGAAUAUUGGGCAAUGGGCGCAAGCCUGACCCAGCAACGCCGCGUGAAGGAAGAAGGCCCUCGGGUUGUAAACUUCCUUUCUCAGGGACGAAGCAAGUGACGGUCCCUGAGGAAUAAGCCACGGCUAACUACGUGCCAGCAGCCGCGGCAAUACGUAGGUGUCAAGCGUUAUCCGGAUUUACUGGGUGUAAAGGGCGUGUUGGCGGGACUGCAAGUCAGAUGUGAAAACCACGGGCUCAACCUGUGGCCGGCCUUUGAAACUGUAGUUCUUGAGUACUGGAGAGGCAGGCGGAAUGCGUGGUGUAGCGGUGAAAUGCAUAGAUAUUAGGCAGAACACCAGUUGCGAAGGCAGUCUGCUGGACACCAACUGACGCUGAGGCACGAAAGCGUGGGGAGCGAACAGGAUUAGAUACCCGUGUAGUC
rnacentral:rRNA from 1 species